AGCUGGUUUGGAUUGGCAGAAACUCAUGGAUAUUUUUUUUCUCUCUGCGGUUUGGUAUUCACAGCAGUGUCAGCCCUGGAGAUACCCUGGGUGGUGCUGAGUGCUGGGGAGAUCCUGCAGACCUGCUGCAGAGACCAGACUGAUAAAGUCUCCAGGCCUCUUGGUGAGGUGGAUCGUGAUGGGACAGUGCCUUUUUGCAAAAGCAGGGUCAGACAGAGAGCAGGAAGCUUUCCUCAUGGCUUCGUGUGAUGCAAUACCCCAGAUGGUGUUUGUACUGAGACCAAAAAAGUGAAUAUGGACCCCUUGGAGUCUGAUAUGAGGGAAUUUGUCAGCAGAUAACAGGUCAGUAUGGCCCUGGGAUGGAGGUCUCCACAGCUGAGGAUGGGAAUGCUGUGAGCCUGGAAGGCAAUUUUUCCAACAAGUUGAUUUAUGGAAUUGGCUGGCAAAGCCUUGAAUACAUUGAGAAAUACAACUUCUACAAUGGACCAACACAUCCUUAAGGAAUGAAUGAUUCCUCUUUAAACUGGGAACUGUGCUCCUGGCUGCUCCAAGCACCUUGGGAACGGAGGAGGAUUAGGACCAGGCUGUGAACUGUGGUGUUUGUCCUGCUGUGUAAACCUGUACUGUAAGAACUUGUCCAGAGGCUGGACUGAGAGGGCUGUGAAGCCACCAGCCCUGGCUGCUCCUGCCACCAGCUCUGCCCGGCC